GCUCUCCUUAACCAGAAAUAUGCUAGAAAGGGAAAUCUGGGAAAUAUAGUUCAACCUAGCCAAGUUAAUACAUCACAAAGUCAUUGCAUAUGCACUGAAAGGGAAUCGUAGUGUAGGCUUUGGCAAAGACAAUGGUAAACCAAUUCCCUGACCUUAGAUAAUUUAGAAUAAGCUGAGGGAAAUAACCAUUAAAGGAGUGAUAACAAAUAUGAUGAAUGUCAAAAAAGAGGGCCAUAAAGUCUGCUACAAAAACUUGCAACUAGGAGAAUUAGGAGGUCAGCAAAGGAGUUAUCACUGAAGAGAUGAUGUUUCCAUUAAAACUUGAGAAUUGAUUAGUAAUUAGCCAUUGGGAGUAGAGAUUGGAGUGAGAGGUGUGAGGGCAUUUUCCAGGUAUAGAAGAUGUGAACAUUUCAAGGACAAGAAGAGAGUGGCUGGAAGCACAGUCUGAAAGGAAAAUCAGACCUGUAAAGUAGGGGUAGCAUUAGAUGAGGCUGAGUGGGGAGACCAUCCCUCAGCACCCCCAUCUCCCUGGUGUCUG
rnacentral:lncRNA from 1 species